CCUACGGGGGGCAGCAGUGAGGAAUAUUGGUCAAUGGCCGAAAGCCUGAACCAGCCAAGUCGCGUGAGGGAAGAAGGUCCUAUGGAUUGUAAACCGCUUUUGUCAGGGAGCAAAGUACCCCACGUGUGGGUGUUUGCGAGUACCUGAAGAAAAAGCAUCGGCUAACUCCGUGCCAGCAGCCGCGGUAAUACGGAGGGUGCGACCGUUAUCCGGAUUUAUUGGGGUUAAAGGGGGCGUAGGCGGAUUAUCAAGUCAGCGGUAAAAUAGUGGGGCUAAACUCCGGCUAGCCGUUGAAACUGGUGAUCUUGAGUGGGCGAGAGGUAGGCGGAAUGCGUGGUGUAGCGGUGAAAUGCAUAGAUAUCACGCAGAACCCCGAUUGCGAAGGCAGCAUGCCGGAGCCGAACUGACGCUGAUGCACGAAAGCGUGGGUAUCGAACAGGAUUAGAUACCCGAGUAGUC
rnacentral:rRNA from 1 species